GACGUAGGGCGCGAGCGUUGUCCGGAUUUAUUGGGCGUAAAGAGCUCGUAGGCGGCUCGUUGCGUCGGCUGUGAAAACCCGCAGCUCAACUGGUGGCUUGCAGCCGAUACGGGCGGGCUGGAGUUCGGUAGGGGAGACUGGAAUUCCUGGUGUAGCGGUGAAAUGCGCAGAUAUCAGGAAGAACACCCGUGGCGAAGGCGGCUCUCUGGGACGGUACUGACGCUGAGACGCGAAAGCGUGGGGAGCGAACAGG
rnacentral:rRNA from 1 species